AUACGUAGGUGGCGACCGUUGUCCGGAAUUACUGGGUGUAAAGGGCGUGUAGGCGGGGGAGCAAGUCAGGUGUGAAAUACCAAGGCUCAACUUUGGGGCUGCACCUGAAACUGUUCUUCUUGAGUACUGGAGAGGGAAGCGGAAUUCCUAGUGUAGCGGUGAAAUGCGUAGAGAUUAGGAGGAACACCAGUGGCGAAGGCGGCUUCCUGGACAGAGACUGACGCUGGGGCGCGAAAGCGUGGGGAGCGAACAGGAUUAGAUACCCUGGUAGUCCACGCCGUAAACGAUGGAUACUAGGUGUAGGAGGUAUCGACACCUUCUGUGCCGGAGUUAACACAAUAAGUAUCCCACCUGGGGAGUACGGCCGCAAGGUUGAA
rnacentral:rRNA from 1 species